rnacentral:lncRNA from 1 species
UCUCAAGAACUCCGGCCUCAAUUAUAAAGGUUUUAUAUAGAUAGGGAAGGGUUAGUCUAUGUAUAUAUAUGAAAUAGAAACCAUGGCCAAUUCGUAAAUCGUGAAGAUUUAAUAUGAAUUCAUCACUUUAUUGAAUGAAUUUGUAGUAUUGGUGGGUUCGAAACUCUAGUAGUGAAAAUUUCAAUUUUUUUUUUUGAAUUCCUUACUUCACACCUUAAAUUCAUUAUAUUUCAUAGCAAGAUCAUAUUGUUUAAUAGGAA